GUGCUCACUUUGGCAGCACAUAUUCUAAAACUGGAAUGAUACGGAGAAUAUUAGCAUGGCCCCAGCUCAAGGAUGAUUCACAAAUUCAUGAAGUGUUCCCUAUUUUU